rnacentral:tRNA from 1 species
UCCGAUAUGGUGUAGUGGCUAACAUUAUCGCCUCUCAUCUUUAUGUAAUACUUGGAAUUACGUAACGUUAGUACGCGAUAGCCGGGGUUCGAUUCCCCGUGUCGGAA